UGUGUGAAACUGGGUCAGAGAAGACAUGCAGUUAUUGCUCUGAAUAUACGCGGAUAUUUAAAGUGCAUGGCGGAUUUAUUAAUUGUUAUGGAUAACCUCCAGCAGUAAGAAAUAUAAAGGUUCACUGCAGUUUUGACUAUGCACAACAAGUAUUGUACCCAUACUAUGCUCAGCAAGUAGGGCCCUUGUAUUUUAAGCCAACACAUAAAUGCAGAUUCUUUGGAGUUGCUGUGAAUCCUCAUGCAGGCUCUCAGAUUUUCUACCUAGUGUAUGAAAAGUACAGUACUGCUGUUGGAAGAGGAGCAAACAGUGUGGUAUCUAUGGUCCACCAUCACUUCAAGCAUCAUGGCUAUGGAGAAAAGAAUGUUUCAUUACAUAUGGACAAUUGUAGUGGACAAAAUAAGAAAAGUGUUGUAAUAAGUUAUGGAAUGUGGCUUGUUAUGAUUGGUCUACAUGAUGACUUGAUGGAGGCCGGACAUACAGAAUUCAGUCCUGAACAUGUUUAGGUAUAUUUGGCUUGAGCCUCUUUAAGCAAUUAGGUUUUUUCUUAAUAAUCAAGUACAUAUAUUGAUAAAACGUGCUGCAGAAAUCAUGUCUGUAAAGAGGCCACUUACAUUAAAGUACCACAUUUUCUGUUUCUUUUUGUGUUGUUAAAGAGUGUCUAGCUAACUGCAAGCCAGAUCAAUAUAAAUAACAUAAUUGUAAUAAAGUAAUUGUUUUUUCUUAAUCAGGUUUAAGAACUCUUUGUUAAA